rnacentral:rRNA from 1 species
AUUGAACGCUGGCGGCAGGCCUAACACAUGCAAGUCGAACGAGUGGCGGACGGGUGAGUAAUGUCUGGGAAUCUGGCUGAUGGAGGGGGAUAACUACGGGAAACGGUAGCUAAUACCGCAUACCAUCGGAUGUGCCCAGGGGGGAUUAGGUAGUUGGUGGGGUAAAGGCUCACCAAGCCGACGAUCCCUAGCUGGUCUGAGAGGAUGACCAGCCACACUGGGACUGAGACACGGCCCAGACUCCUACGGGAGGCAGCAGUGGGGAAUAUUGCGCAAUGGGGGCAAGCCUGACGCAGCCAUGCCGCGUGAAUGAAGAAGGCCUUCGGGUUGUAAAGUUCUUUCGGUAGCGAGGCGUUAACUACAGAAGAAGCACCGGCUAACUCCGUGCCAGCAGCCGCGGUAAUAC